CAAUCUCUUCUUUUGGGUGCAUUCUCAAGUUCGUUCUUCAUCUUUAUUCCACUUUCUGUUGUGUAAAGUCUGUUUUACAUUGCUUCUGGUGUGAAUUAAAUUUCUUCUGCUGUGCUUUUUAUUUUACUACUCACCUUUCUUAUUCUGCCUGUUCUUGUUAAAUAGAGACAACAUCUUCUUGAGUCUUAGUGUGAGCAGGAAACACUGAUGUUCCGUGUAUUACAUGCCUUGUAAAAAUACCCUAGGAGGAUUUUGUAUGAAAUUCUUAGGAAAUUCUUGCGCUGUAGAUGUUUUCAAAGGUUCUAUUUAAAAAAACCUUGAGUAAAGGCAAAACUCCUGUUUUGGAGAGCAGUGAAGAUUUAAGGAGUACUCGUUUUUCUCUGUGAGUCUCUCUGUCCUGGGAUUGCUGAGGUCCUCAGUUGGAAGCUGUGUGGUGAACUCUUGCCACGGUUUGUGGGAUCUGACUUCAGUGCUGGUUCCUCCUUCUUCCAUUUAAGCAGGCAGCCUCUGGUGGAACUUUCUGGAAGUGAAGGUCUUUCUCAGGUUCAGAAUGAGUGUAUAGGUGAAUGGAGUGAAAGGACUUCUUUCAGUCGGUGGAGUUUCACUCAAAGGAGUGGGAAGGUGACAGAAAUCCAUACAAUUCCAGAAUGCUCAGAGGAAAAUGGUUUUAGGUAAAGCCCUGAUAUCAUCGCCGUGUCUUCUAGGAUGGGCCACUCUCUACCAGCAGCCAGUUCCUCUAGCUCAUACCAUUUUUCUUCUUGUGGUCUUGGGCAGGGAAUCAGUGAGUCUGGUCUGGGCUCUUCUAUUCAUUCAAGUACCAAGUGAGCUACUGGUGGAGUGAGGUAUGGUGGUGUGGUGUGGAAGAGACAAUUUUGUUGGGUCACUCUUGAGGCUCCAAGGCCAUUGGGUGACCUAGGGGUGAUCCAGAGUGUCUCAGUCCCACUGCUUUGACUGAGGUGGUGGUUCUAGAACCUCUGUAUAUAGUCAUAUGUCUUAGUUUUUAAAGAUUGUGAGUUUGAGAUCAUUCAUCCACAUUUUAAACAGGUGCAUUGAGGUCUACUUCACAUAUACAGUUCACUCACCUAAGUGUACAAUUUAGUGGCUUUUAGUAUAUUCAGCGUUGUACAGUCAUUACCACAAUUUUAGAUUAUUUUCACUGUCCCCAAAACCCAUACUCAUUAACUCACUCUCCACCCCCCAUCUUCUUUCCAUGUACCCACGUCCUCAAGUAUAGGUAACCCCUAAUCAGCUUUCUGUCUCUCCCUCGUGGCCUAUUUUGAACAUUUCAUAUAAGAGGAAUUAUAUGAUAUGUGGUCUUUUGUGAUUGCUUUCAUGUAGCGUAACAUUUUCAAGGUUCAUCCGUAUUGUAGCAGGUAUCAACAUUUCAGGUAUUAUGACACAGCAGUUUCACUGCUAGACAUAUAACCAAAAGAUAUGAAAACAUAUAUCCACACAAAAACCUGUACACAAUACCCAUUCCAGCAUUAUUCAUAAUAGCAAAAAAAUAAGAACAAGACAAAAUGAACAUCAACUAAUGAAUGGAUACAUAAAAUGUAGUAUACCAUAUAAUGGAAUAUUUUAUCUGGCAAUGAAAAAUGAAAAACUUGAAAAUGAAAAAAUAUUUAAAUUCAAAAAAUAGAUGAAAUAUGAAAUCAUUUUUAUUGCCAAAUAGAAUUUUCCCUUGUGUGGAUAGAUAUAUCACAAUCUAUUUAUCCAUUCAUCAUUUGGCUUGUUUCUACUUUUUUGAUAUUAUGAAUAAUGCUGGUUUGGACAUAUGUCCAUACAUGAACUUGAGCACAAAUGUUUUAUUUCUUUUGGGUCUAUGUCUAUGAGUGAAAUUGCUGUGUCAUAUAAUCUCUCUUUUAUAAGUGUCCCUCUAAGCAUUGCUUUUGCUGCAUCUUAUAAGUUUUGGUACAUUUACUUUCAAUUUCAUUGAUUUCACUUUCUUUUUUGAUGUUGUUUUUUUAUUUUUUAAUUUUUAAUGAUUUUUAUUUUCUCCAUUAUAGUUGGUUUACAGUGUUCUGCCAAUUUCUACUGUACAGCAAAGAGACCCAGUCAGACAUACAUAUACCUUCUUUUUCUCACAUUAUCCUCCAUCGUGUUCCAUCAUAAUCCAUUGAUUUCAAAUUACUUUCUAAUUUCCCUUGUGAUUGCUUCUUUGAUCCAGUGUUUUUUAAUUUCCACAUAUUUGUGAAUUCCCCAAAUUUCAAUUUCUAGUUUCAUGGUAUUGUGGCCAGAGAGCAUCCAUUGUAUAAUUUCAGUCCUUUAAAAUAUGUUUAGGAAUUCCUGUCAUGGCUCAGCAGAAACGAAUCUGACUAGUAUCCAUGAGGACGCAGAUUUGCUCCCUGAUCUCGCUUAGUGGGUUAAAGAUCCAGCAUUGCUGUGAGCCGUGGUGUAGGUUGCAGACGUGGCUCAGAUUUGGCGUUGCUGUGGCUGUGGUAUAGGCCAGUGGCAACAGCUCUGAUAUGACUCUAGCCUCGGAACCUCCAUGUGCUGCGGGUGUGGCCCUAAAAAUGAAAUAAAAUAAUAUAAAAUAAAAUAUGUUUAUAGGCUUAUUUUAUGCCCUACCAUGUGAUCCAUCCUGGGGAGUAUUCCAUGUGCAGUUGAGAAGAGUAUGUAUUCUACUAUUUAUGGGUGGAGUGUUCUGUAGGGUGUAAGUCUAAUUAGCUUAUAUCAUGAAUCUUAUUAUAAACAUUUGUUGAAUAGACUUACCAAGCUGUUUAAUUAGGACUUACUGGUAUUUAACUGUCUAUGAGAGAGCCAACUGCCUGUUUGGUUACACUUUCUCUCUGAAUUGACGUCUAUCCAAAGACACUGAAAUUUAAAUUGUAGUAAAAAACAAAAACAAAGAGUUUUUUAAAAAAAACUUUAAAACUAUUAUUCUAGGGUGCAGGUACUAAGCUUUCAGUGAGGAAUGAAGUUUCCAAAAGCAGCUUGCUUAUUCAGUUUCUGUUACUGAAUUGUCUUAAAAUCAGUAGAAUUACUGCUUCUCUAAAAAUCAUGCAGCACACUGACCUAAAAUUCCAUUUUAAAAGAGCUUCAUGGGUUUUGAUGAACACGAAUCCUGCUCAUUGUCUCUGAAGUUGGCCCUGGAUAUCUGCAUUAGCAGACCACAGCCCUUGUAUGGAUGGGAUUCAGGUUCAUCUGAGUGCAGACCAUGCUAUUAAGAAAACAUGCCUACAGGAUUCUUGGGAAUUUGAACAUGGCUGAAAGCAUCCCAGUACGGCCAUGAAAUUUUUUUGUCUAUUUAAGGCAUAUCUUGAGUGGUAUUUGAAUGUAUCCUGUUCUGUGAAAGCAUUUUCACUUUCAUGAAACUGCUCAAAUUGAGGCCAUGAGCUCCCAUUUUAGUGCUGUUAAUCUGGAAUCCUAGUGUAGAUGGGCUCUGGCUGAAUACACCCUAGAGAGUUAAAAAAAAAAAAAAUUAUUCAGUUUGACAAAUUCCAGUAUUUCCACUGACAUAGUUAAUAUUGAUUAACAUAUACUUAUUAUCUUUAAGUAUCAUUUUAGGUGGAAUAAAUUGCUUUUACACAGCUUUUAUAUCACCGUUAACUAUCUAAUUAGCUCUAUUUCAGCCUUGCUAUUAAGAAAUCAUUUGACUUUCACAAUAGGAAUUUGUGACUGCAUUGCCCCUUAUUGAAAAAGUUGGUCGUAUCCAAGCUGACUUCAUUUUUUUUCUGUCCUCUUUCACUCACAAAUAACUAUCUGCCGGAAACAAAGCAUUUUGACUAAUAAUUCCGUUUUUUACUUUGACCCUUGAUGUUAUUAUAUACGUCUUGCUUUCCCCUCACUCGGCUAUAUGGAAAAAAAAUUUUUUUUUCCUCCCGUGCCUGCUGUGACAAGGCCUUAUUCUCUCUAAUUUGGAACCGAAGCUACAUCUCUAAUCAUGACUAAACAUUUUCUAUUGCACAUUUUUUGGUAGUGUUCACAUCAAGGGCAGAGCUGAUCAUGAGCCGUUUACCUUGUAAACAUCCCUUGUGCCCUCGCUUGUUCUGUGUUGUAUCUAGAUAUAGCUGUGUGUAUUGUAGAAAGGAUGUAGGGGUUUCAAAUCCCAGCUUAACCACAUUACUGUGUGAUCCUGGGCAAGAUGACCCAGGUGUUUGAGCCCAGUGUAAAAUGGGAACGGCCCUGGGAAAAUCAUGUGACAACGGGAAGAACUGUCUAGAUGUCUUGAGGCUUUAAUGGUUCAUGGCUGCAGAGCGUCUAGUACAGUGUUGGGUGUACAGAAUAUUCAACAGUUGUUUCCUUCCUUUUCCUUCCUGUCUCUCCAGUGGUAGAUGAUAGGUUAUCUUACUUUAUAUUUUUCAAACCUUCCCCCGAGUUGGAACCUUAGUAAGUAUUAUAUACAUUAUUAUUUUUUUUUACAACUUUAGUCAACUUUCCCCACAAUUUCAAGAACACAUCUCAUCUCCUUAGGUUUCUGACUUUUCAGAAUUUGAGACAGUAUUUCCCUCAUCCUUGCUAUGGACCCUGCCUUUUAAUGAAAUAUAUAUAUAGUAUAUUGCUAAUCAAGAAUAGGUAUGAUAUAAUGAUCUUAGAACUAGCAGUAGUACUUUGAUUUGUUUUAAUUUUAUGAACUCCUCCCAAACAACAUUCAACCAUGUAUUUGCAAGUUUUAGCUUUUUCCUUUGGAAUUUGCAAUUCCUUUUAAAUCAUUUAUAUUUCUCUUCCCUUCCUCCCACGUUGCCACAAUCACUAGAGCUGAUUGUAUUUAUUUCGCCAGUUGUAACUAAAAUUCCGUUAAAGGUUUGGGUGCUGUCAGCCAGAUCAUGCUGGAGCCAGGGAUUCCAUUUCCCACUAACAAACCAGUAUCUUCCAUUAUUUGUCUUCCUUGUGUAGUGACAGUGUUUAUUGUUGUUCCAAAGCCAAUUUAAAGCUUAACUUUACAAAGGCUGUGUUUUAACCUGACCUAUCAAACUUUAAAAAAAAAAAAAAGUCUCUAAGUGUGGGAUAAAGGUAUUCUUUUUAAUGAUGACUAGUAACCUAUUUAGACGUAUUCAUCUAAGGAACUGAAGAUAAUUUUGCCAUCAGGCCAUUUGUAUUAGUGAACAAACAGAUGGGUCUUGCCCUGAACCCGGAAGGCAAACAGAUCAGACACCCUUUAAUUGCUUGGGGAAGAUUUCUGCGGUCAUGGCUCCUUCCCAAGGACACACUGAUCUUCCCUGUGACAACUCUCAAAUCCGAUACUUUUCAGCAAGGCAGAAAGCCUUACUGCAUUCCUUCAAUAAAAACUUCUCAUACUCUGCUGCAGUUAGUUCCUCAGGAUAACCACAAAGAAGUUCCUGUCGUGGCUCAGCGGUUAACGAACCUAUUAUCCAUGUGGACUCGGGUUCAAUCCCUGGCCUCGCUUAGUGGGUUAAGCAUCUGGCAUUGCAGGAGUUCUAGUCAUGGCUCAGUGGUUAGCGAAUCCGACUAGGAACCAUGAGGUUGUGGGUUCCAUCCCUGCCCUUGCUCAGUGGGUUAAGGAUUCGGCAUUGCUGUGGGCUGUGGUGUAGUUUGCAGAUGUGGCUUGGAUCCUGAGUUGCUGUGGCUCUGGUGUAGGCUGGUGGCUACAGCUCCGAUUCGGCCCCUGGCCUGGGAACCUCCAUAUGCCGUGGGAGCGGCCCUAGAAAAGGCAAAAAGCCAAAAAGCCAAAAAAAAAAAAAAAAAAAAAAAAGGAUCUGGCAUUGCCAUGAGCUGUGGUGUAUGUCACAGAUGAAGCUCGGAUCUGGCGUGGCUGUGGCUGUGGUGUAGACUGGCAGCUGUAACUCCGAUUCGACCCCUAGCCUGGGAACCUCCAUGUGCCUCAGGUGUAGC
rnacentral:lncRNA from 1 species